GUGUCUGUAGUAGAGGAAGACAGUGAGGUGUGUCUGUAGUAGAGGAAGACAGUGAGGUGUGUCUGUUGUAGAGGAAGACAGUGAGGUGUGUCUGUAGUAGAGGAAGACAGUGAGGUGUGUCUGUAGUAGAGGAAGACAGUGAGGUGUGUCUGUAGAGGAAGACAGUGAGGUGUGUCUGUAGUAGAGGAAGACAGUGAGGUGUGUCUGUAGUAGAGGAAGACAGUGAGGUGUGUCUGUAGUAGAGGAAGACAGUGAGGUGUGUCUGUAGUAGAGGAAGACAGUGAGGUGUGUCUGUAGUAGAGGAAGACAGUGAGGUGUGUCUGUAGUAGAGGAAGACAGGAGGUGUGUCUAGUAGAGGAAGACAGGAGGUGUGUCUGUAGUA